GACGAACGCUGGCGGCGUGCCUAAUACAUGCAAGUCGAACGCACAGUUUAUACCGUAGCUUGCUACACCAUAGACUGUGAGUUGCGAACGGGUGAGUAACGCGUAGGUAACCUGCCUGGUAGCGGGGGAUAACUAUUGGAAACGGUAGCUAAUACCGCAUAAUAUUAAUUAUUGCAUGAUAAUUAAUUGAAAGGUGCAAUUGCACCACUACCAGAUGGACCUGCGUUGUAUUAGCUAGUAGGUGAGGUAACGGCUCACCUAGGCGACGAUACAUAGCCGACCUGAGAGGGUGAUCGGCCAAACUGGGACUGAGACACGGCCCAGAAUCCUACGGGAGGCAGCAGUAGGGAAUCUUCGGCAAUGGACGAAAGUCUGAACGAGCAACGCCGCGUGAGUGAAGAAGGUUUUCGGAUCGUAAAGCUCUGUUGUAAGAGAAGAACGGGUGUGAGAGUGGAAAGUUCACACUGUGACGGUAUCUUACCAGAAAGGGACGGCUAACUACGUG
rnacentral:rRNA from 1 species